GAUGAACGCUGACAGAAUGCUUAACACAUGCAAGUCUUUGGCGAAGCUGUGCUUGCACAGCCUAGCCAAGGCGGACGGGUGAGUAACGCGUAAGGAACUUGCCCUGCAGUCAGGGAUAACAGACGGAAACGACUGAUAAGACCUGGUAAAGUCAGGCGGACUCAUGUCCAGCCUGAUGAAAAGAGAUGCUGCAGGAGAGCCUUGCGUCCUAUUAGCUUGUUGGUGGGGUAACGGCCCACCAAGGCGAUGAUAGGUAGCCGGCCUGAGAGGGUGGACGGCCACAAGGGGACUGAGAUACGGCCCUUACUCCUACGGGAGGCAGCAGUGGGGAAUAUUGGACAAUGGGGGCAACCCUGAUCCAGCAAUUCUGUGCGAACGAUGAAGGUUUUCGGAUUGUAAAGUGCUUUCAGCAGGGAAGAAAAAAAUGACGGUACCUGCAGAAGAAGCGACGGCUAAAUACGUG
rnacentral:rRNA from 1 species